rnacentral:rRNA from 1 species
CACGUAGGCACCAAGCGUUGUCCGGAUUUAUUGGGCGUAAAGAGCUCGUAGGCGGUUCGGUAAGUCGGGUGUGAAAACUCUGGGCUCAACCCAGAGCCGCCACCCGAUACUGCUGUGACUCGAGUGCGGUAGGGGAGCGGGGAAUUCCUGGUGUAGCGGUGAAAUGCGCAGAUAUCAGGAGGAACACCGGUGGCGAAGGCGGAUCUCUGGGCCUGUCCUGACGCUGAGACGCGAAAGCGUGGGGAGCAAACAGG